GACGAACGCUGGCGGCGUGCCUAAUACAUGCAAGUAGAACGCUGAAGGAGGAGCUUGCUUCUCUGGAUGAGUUGCGAACGGGUGAGUAACGCGUAGGUAACCUGCCUGGUAGCGGGGGAUACUAUUGGAAACGAUAGCUAAUACCGCAUAAUAUUGACUAUUGCAUGAUAGUCAGUUGAAAGGUGCAACUGCACCACUACCAGAUGGACCUGCGUUGUAUUAGCUAGUUGGUGGGGUAACGGCUCACCAAGGCGACGAUACAUAGCCGACCUGAGAGGGUGAUCGGCCACACUGGGACUGAGACACGGCCCAGACUCCUACGGGAGGCAGCAGUAGGGAAUCUUCGGCAAUGGACGGAAGUCUGACCGAGCAACGCCGCGUGAGUGAAGAAGGUUUUCGGAUCGUAAAGCUCUGUUGUAAGAGAAGAACGAGUGUGAGAGUGGAAAGCUCACACUGUGACGGUAUCUUACCAGAAAGGGACGGCUAACUACGUG
rnacentral:rRNA from 1 species